rnacentral:lncRNA from 10 species
GAUGCAUCUUUAAAAAGGCACCUCGGUGUUAGAAUAUGGGAUGCAAAAUUUAAAAACAAUUCAAAAGUUUGUAAAAUGAUUUAUUCCUUUAAGAAAUGCCUUUUUAAACACCUAAUUUGGGUAAGGAACUCUGUUAUCUAAGAAUGAAUUAGAGAUGUGCUUAGUGUCUAAUGGAGACAAGGUACACUUGGUUAAAUAUUUUCUUUCUAAAAGAGGUGAUUUAUCUGCUGUGCUAUUUAUAAAAUGCACUUAAAGCACUGAGUUCAUAUUGAUGUCAUUGUCUUAAAAGUGCUUUUUUUUUUUUGGUUUCCUCAAAGAUAUACUAAGGAGCUUUUGCAAGUCAAUGUGCAAAAAGACACUACAAUGAGUGGAGAAUCAACAGUGCUCUCAGAACUUUGCUCUCAGAAAACUUAAGUUACCAGGCACUAAGUGGCUACUCAAAAUGUGGUUUGUGGACCAGAAGCAUCACAUCUCCUGGGAACUAGGUAGGCCUAAUGGAAUCAAGAGGGCCCUUUAGAGUGGAAGAGGGAAUUUGAAGAAAGAACCAGAGACAUGUCAGCAUGAGAAGGACUCAGCCUAAUCUUGCUGCCUUUGAAGUUGGAGGAAGGGGUCUAUGAAGCUGGAAAAGGUGAGGAAACAGAUUUUCCCCCAGGGCCUCCAGGAAGAAAUGCACCUGCUGGCACCUUGAUCUUAGCCAAGUAACCUCUACGUCAGACUUCUGACCUAUAAAACUGUAAAAUAAUAAAUGUGUGUUGUUUUAAGU